AGAGUUUGAUCCUGGCUCAAAACGAACGCUGGCGGCGCGUCUUAAGCAUGCAAGUCGAGCGGGAAUAUCUAGCUUGCUAGAUAUGAGAGCGGCGGACUGGUGAGUAACGCGUGGGUGACGCACCCUUGUGACGGGGACAGCUCCUAGAAAUAGGAGGUAAUACCGGAUAAUCUGCACGGUGUUAGAGGCCGUGCAGGAAAGCUUCUUUUGAAGCGCACGAGGAGCGGCCCGCGUACUAUUAGUUAGUUGGCGGGGUAACGGCCCACCAAGGCGACGAUAGUUAUCCGGCCUGAGAGGGUGAACGGACACAUUGGGACUGAGAUACGGCCCAAACUCCUACGGGAGGCAGCAGCUAAAAAUAUUCCGCAAUGGAGGAAACUCUGACGGAGCGACGCUGCGUGAACGAUGAAGGCCGGAAGGUUGUAAAGUUCUUUUGUACGCGAGGAAUAAAGGAAGUGAGGGAAACGCUUCCAGGUGACGGUAGCGUGCGAAUAAGGGGCGGCUAAUUACGUGCCAGCAGCCGCGGUAACACGUAAGCCCCGAGCGUUGUUCGGAAUUAUUGGGCGUAAAGGGCAUGUAGGCGGUCCAGCAAGCCCGGUGUGAAAGGCGGGGGCUCAACCCCCGGACUGCGCCGGGAACUGCAGGGCUGGAGUUACUGAGGGGCAGCCGGAAUUCCAGGUGUAGGGGUGAAAUCUGUAGAUAUCUGGAAGAACACCAAUGGCGAAGGCAGGCUGCCAGCAGAUAACUGACGCUGAGGUGCGAAGGUGCGGGGAGCAAACAGGAUUAGAUACCCUGGUAGUCCGCACAGUCAACUAUGUGCACUAGGUGUCCGGCCAUAAGGCUGGGUGCCGAAGCGAACGCGAUAAGUGCACCGCCUGGGGAGUAUGCCCGCAAGGGUGAAACUCAAAGGAAUUGACGGGGGCCCGCACAAGCGGUGGAGCAUGUGGUUUAAUUCGAUGGUACGCGAGGAACCUUACCUGGGUUUGACAUACAUUCUGAUACAGUAGAGAUACUGUAGCGUAGCAAUACGAGGAUGAACAGGUGCUGCAUGGCUGUCGUCAGCUCGUGCCGUGAGGUGUUGGGUUAAGUCCCGCAACGAGCGCAACCCCUACUGCCAGUUACCAACACGUAAAGGUGGGGACUCUGGCGGAACUGCCGGUGACAAACCGGAGGAAGGCGGGGAUGACGUCAAGUCAUCAUGGCCCUUAUGUCCAGGGCUACACACGUGCUACAAUGGCAGGUACAAAGCGAAGCGAGGCCGCGAGGCGGAGCAAAGCGCAUAAAGCCUGUCGUAGUUCGGAUAGGAGUCUGAAACCCGACUCCUUGAAGUUGGAAUCGCUAGUAAUCGCGCAUCAGCACGGCGCGGUGAAUACGUUCCCGGGCCUUGUACACACCGCCCGUCACACCAUCCGAGUGGAGGGUACCCGAAGCCGCGAGCCUAACCGUAAGGAGGGCCGUGUCGAAGGUACGCUUCGUGAGGGGGGUGAAGUCGUAACAAGGUAGC
rnacentral:rRNA from 1 species